rnacentral:rRNA from 1 species
UACGGGGGGGGGCAAGCGUUGUUCGGAAUUACUGGGCGUAAAGGGCUCGUAGGCGGCCAACUAAGUCAGACGUGAAAUCCCUCGGCUUAACCGGGGAACUGCGUCUGAUACUGGAUGGCUUGAAUCCGGGAGAGGGAUGCAGAAUUCCAGGUGUAGCGGUGAAAUGCGUAGAUAUCUGGAGGAACACCGGUGGCGAAGGCGGAUCUCUGGGCCUUACCUGACGCUGAGGCGCGAAAGCUAGGGGAGCGAACAGG